GGGGGGAGGGCAGAUUUUUUUUUACAAAUGACCAAUUCUUUUCUUUAUACCAUUUAGUUAUAUCUUUCUUGUAAUCAUCUAAAAUUUUGAAUAACUUCUUGUAAUUUCCUUUUUAGUGGUCAAUUAUCCCUUUGGCAUGACAAUUUAUUACAAAAUCUGAACUUGACACUGUACAUAAAAACUUUUAAUGAUAUUUACUUACACAAUAAC
rnacentral:lncRNA from 1 species